UUCAUUGAUUCUUUGUAUUGCCUUUGUUUUUGAGGCCUAAAGAACACUUGCAAUUUGGAGAAACAAAAUAAACAUUAUCCCAAGGUUUCUAUGAAUAUGCUUGUUGCCACAGAGGAGACAGCAUGGGUGAAAACAUAAAAUUAACAGACAACUCAGCAAAACGAAUGUGUCUAGCCACUCCGGAGGAAAUGCACAGCAGGACUUGCUUGUCACCUGGACAGCUGACUUUAAAGUUUACUGAACUUAUCAAACGCAUAGGCAGCUUGCCCAACACUGUGUAAUGUAGAGUUCACAUCAGGUUGCAGACAGUAGAUGUUGGUACCAGCCCCGAACUCAGUGAUGUCACAUCCAAGUGACUCCUACAUCGUUGCCAAGGCAACCACCGUAUACUCCCAGAAUCCACCUGGCUACCUUACCUUUACCUGGGAAAAGACUAUGUCACCGCCUAUAUAAAUAGGCAGAACUGUCUGACCUCUCUCUCCCGCCCCCCCAUCUUCUUCCGCUUCUCUCUCCACAUUUGCCCUCUGCCCUAAUAAA